ACAGGGAUUGCCUUAGUAACGGCGAGUGAAGCGGCAACAGCUCAAAUUUGAAAUCUGGCUCCCUUGGGGGCCCGAGUUGUAAUUUGUAGAGGAUGCUUCGGCGUGGGCCCCGGUCUAAGUUCCUUGGAACAGGACGUCACAGAGGGUGAGAAUCCCGUACGUGGCCGUGGGUGCUCGCCAUGUGAAGCUCCUUCGACGAGUCGAGUUGUUUGGGAAUGCAGCUCUAAAUGGGAGGUAAAUUUCUUCUAAAGCUAAAUACUGGCCAGAGACCGAUAGCGCACAAGUAGAGUGAUCGAAAGAUGAAAAGCACUUUGGAAAGARAGUCAAAAAGUACGUGAAAUUGUUGAAAGGGAAGCGCUUGCAACCAGACCUGCCUGCGGUUGCUCAUCCGGGCUCUUGCCCGGUGCACUCUUCCGCAGUCAGGCCAGCAUCAGCUCUGGCGGUCGGAUAAAGGCGGCGGGAAUGUGGCUCCCCUCGGGGAGUGUUAUAGCCCGCCGUGCAAUGCGGCCAGCCGGGACUGAGGUCCGCGCUUCGGCUAGGAUGCUGGCGUAAUGGUUGUAAGCGGCCCGUCUUGAAACACGGACCAAGGAGUCUAACAUCUGUGCGAGUGUUUGGGUGUCAAGCCCAGGCGCGUAAUGAAAGUGAACGGAGGCGGGAACCUUCGGGUGCACCGUCGACCGAUCCUGAUGUCUUCGGAUGGAUUUGAGUAAGAGCAUAGCUGUUGGGACCCGAAAGAUGGUGAACUAUGCCUGAAUAGGGUGAAGCCAGAGGAAACUCUGGUGGAGGCUCGCAGCGGUUCUGACGUGCAAAUCGAUCGUC
rnacentral:rRNA from 1 species